rnacentral:lncRNA from 1 species
CUGGGCUAGCUGAUCUCUUGAGGUCUCUUCCACUCUUAUAUUUCUAUGUCUCUGUGUAGGCGACAGAACUGUUGUCAGAGAUCGUUGCUAAAGUGCAGCCUAGAAAGGAAGCUUUAGCUAGCUUGGCUUAUUCAAGGGCUUGCUGAUGAUGUGAGGUACCUAGUAACCAGCAAGUGUCUCCUAGCGACAUAUUCUCCUCCUUAGCAACUGCUCAGCUGCUCCUAGCAACUGCAGCCCUUUGGUCCCUAAACUGUUGCCUCCUCCCACAGGGGGUUCUGCGGCACUGCCUGCACAGCAACUCGAUCCGAUUAACAGGAAAUAGGAUUUGCAACUAAUCUGCAGACAUCAAAAGUGAGAGGCAGAAUCAAAAAUCAUGGUCUUGAAGUAGUUCCAGAUCAUUUUAAAACAUAUUUGUUAAUAAAAUGCAUUCAGGAUUAUUAUGAAUAUUAUGGAGCUGGAUUUAAAAAUGGGAGUAUGUAUUAGAUCCACAAAUGCAAUUUAAUACAAAUCCCUGCCUCACUCUCCUUGCAUUGCUUACGGUGGUGAGCUGGAUGAGUGCGCCUUUGCAGCCGCUGGCCCGGGUUUGGAGCAGCUAG